rnacentral:rRNA from 1 species
GUAGUUUGAUCGUGGCUCAGAUUGAACGCUGGCGGCAUGCCUUACACAUGCAAGUCGAACGGCAGCAUGAUCUAGCUUGCUAGAUUGAUGGCGAGUGGCGAACGGGUGAGUAAUACAUCGGAACGUGCCCUGUAGUGGGGGAUAACUAGUCGAAAGAUUAGCUAAUACCGCAUACGACCUGAGGGUGAAAGUGGGGGACCGCAAGGCCUCAUGCUAUAGGAGCGGCCGAUGUCUGAUUAGCUAGUUGGUGGGGUAAAGGCCCACCAAGGCGACGAUCAGUAGCUGGUCUGAGAGGACGAUCAGCCACACUGGGACUGAGACACGGCCCAGACUCCUACGGGAGGCAGCAGUGGGGAAUUUUGGACAAUGGGCGAAAGCCUGAUCCAGCAAUGCCGCGUGUGUGAGAAGGCCU